CCCGCUGAACUUAAGCAUAUUACUCAGCGGAGGAAAAGAAAACAACCGUGAUUCCCUCAGUGAGCGGCGAGCGAAGAGGGACCGAACUCGAUGCCGAAUCGGGCGCUGAAACGCCUUGAGUUGUGGCAACUAAGCUGCAUUGUGAUUGGUGUGGGAUUGGCGAAAUUCAAUGUGCAAAGCAAACCCUGCUGAACACAACCCUUCAUGUGAGUAUUGAGCCAAAGAAGGUGUCAGCCCAUUGAGCCAAAAACCCGAGCACCACAUCGUGUAGCGCUAAGCGAGUAGCACUUCUUGGGAGUGAAGUGUCAAGCGGCAGGUAUAUGUCUGCCAAGGUUAAAUACAGAGUGGGAAGACCGAUAUCGAACAAGUAGCGUGAGCGAAAGUUUGAAAAGCACUUUGGAAAGAGAGUGACAUAGAACCUGAAGUCGUGACAAUGACAAGGAAAGUACCUCCAUUUUGCCAAAACCAGCCUUACAGCAUCAUCCCUCACGGUCUUCGAGCCGGAAUCGCUUCAGGGGGCAACGAGUGCAGAAAGGAGGCCGUGGUGAAUUGGGCGGAGAUAAUGGCGGGGUGCAUUUUCAGCGUCAAAACCUGUGAGGCCUCUGCUUCUCCGUGAACUCAAUGUUGGCUUGAAAAUGGGGUGCCUUCACCCGUCUUGAAACACGG
rnacentral:rRNA from 1 species